AUUACCGCGGCUGCUGGCACGUAGUUAGCCGGUGCUUAUUCUGCAGGUACCGUCAUUUGACCCAGGUAUUAACCAGGCCCUUUUCUUUCCUGCCAAAAGUGCUUUACAACCCGAAGGCCUUCAUCGCACACGCGGGAUGGCUGGAUCAGGGUUGCCCCCAUUGUCCAAAAUUCCCCACUGCUGCCUCCCGUAGG
rnacentral:rRNA from 1 species